rnacentral:lncRNA from 1 species
CUCUAAUAUACUGAGAUGGAUGUGGGGACAGGCCCCGCAACAUCCUAAUAGAACAAAACUAAGUACACAAAAUAAUUGAGUCCUCCGGAAUGCAAGGAGGCUCACCACAGACUCUGGAGUGCUCAGCUGGAUCAACGACGUGCAGGAUGUUGAUCCGGGGUACCUGUAUCUGCAUCAUAAUAAGAUGCAGGCCAACUGGCAUCAGUACAUGGAAUGUACGAGUAUGCGAGCUGGAACUAAGCAACAAAGGCUAGGAGGAGAUCUGGAGAUCUGGAGGAAACUGAAUAGCUUACCUGGCUCAACUCAACUCAACCUGACUGACUUCUUUCAAUAUAAGGCAAUUUAAAACAAGUGCGAUAUAAAGAAAGACUGUUUAAAACAUGCUAUAAACUCUGUGUGUAUGCAAAGAUACAAUAAGCCUGAGAUGUAUAUAGAAAUACAAAUGAACUGAUGUAUAUAAAAUACAAUACUUUCUGUGUAUGAAAAUACAAUAACUGCUGUGGGAGUUUCUCUAACCGACAACCAUCACAUAAGAGCUAUAGUGAUGAUACAGCGAUCGACCUCACGCUGCCAGAGCAUCCUAUUCCCGGCCAAAGGUAUAGGACCUGAACUGCCUAAUGGAUCCACUAGUCUAAUCUGAAAAGGAUUCAUCUAAAAAGUAUGAUCCUUUUCUACCCAUGAUGGCUAACAUGGUUCUAUGGGGGCUGUGGGUUCUUUGAACGCUCCCCCAAUUCGGUGCUCGAUACUACUCCCAAAAAUGUACUGGCUCUUAUGUUUUUAAAACAUAUUUAUUCCUGCUGAUAUGAGAUAAUUACUCAAAAACUUGCCCGAAGGCUCUUUUGGAAAUCUCAGUUUCCAACCUUGCUUCAUUUAGAAAACGAUAACUCUUUUUCUGAAAAACUGGCCCGAAGGCUCCUUUGGAAAUCUCAGUUUCCAACCUUGCUUCAUUUAGAAAACGAUAACUCUUUUUCUGAAAAACUGGCCCGAAGGCUCCUUUGGAAAUCUCAGUUUCCAACCUUGCUUCAUUUAGAAAACGAUAACUCUUUUUCUGAAAAACUGGCCCGAAGGCUCCUUUGGAAAUCUCAGUUUCCAACCUUGCUUCAUUUAGAAAACGAUAACUCUUUUUCUGAAAAACUGGCCCGAAGGCUCCUUUGGAAAUCUCAGUUUCCAACCUUGCUUCAUUUAGAAAACGAUAACUCUUUUUCUGAAAAACUGGCCCGAAGGCUCCUUUGGAAAUCUCAGUUUCCAACCUUGCUUCAUUUAGAAAACGAUAACUCUUUUUCUGAAAAACUGGCCCGAAGGCUCCUUUGGAAAUCUCAGUUUCCAACCUUGUUUAAAUGUAAAAACAUUUCUUUAAAAACUUCUUUGGGAAUACAUAGUUCCCUAAUAACUUUGAGAAAUGAACUCAACUUUAAACUCUUUACUCAACUUGAAACUUGAGACUAUUUUUGGAGUCCUCCUUUUCUCCAGCUCUAAACCCUCCCAAAACAAGGUUUCAGCCCAUACACUUGGAAGCACAAAAAUCCCUCAACAUACCAUAGAUUACAACUCAAAUACCAACCAAACAAUACAACUAUCAACUUCAACAACUAACAACCUUAACAACAAUUCCAAUAACUUCAACAACGAAUCUAAUCCUUCCUCAAUAAAUAAAAGGGCUAGGUGUGUGGGGUAAAG